rnacentral:lncRNA from 1 species
CGCGAUGGUACAAAUGGGGGAGGGACACAUUCCUCAGCUUGUCUCUCUCUGCGCACUGCUACCGGGAGGGGCGUUGAAAAUGUAUCUGUUCUCUGUAGCUGCUUGGGGAAGUGUAACCAGCAUAAGCAUACUGGACAAAUUUGGGUUGUUGAAGACAAAGGUCUGCAUAUCUGGAGACUCAAGCAUGCACCGGGAACCUCACCUUACUUCAGUGCUAUUUGCAGGAAUGAUAUAGCUCGUGCAAGGGCAAGCUGGUUUGGAUAUUCAUCUGUCUCAACAUGUACAGCAUGUCUCUGUGCAAAGUUUUGAAGAUAACUUAUUGAACAAAAUCACUUAAAUG